rnacentral:rRNA from 1 species
UACGGGGGGGGCAAGCGUUGUUCGGAAUUACUGGGCGUAAAGGGUUUGUAGGUGGCUUGCUAAGUCAGACGUGAAAUCCCUCAGCUUAACUGGGGAACUGCGUCUGAGACUGGCAAGCUCGAGUGCAGGAGAGGAACGCGGAAUUCCAGGUGUAGCGGUGAAAUGCGUAGAUAUCCGGAGGAACACCAGUGGCGAAGGCGACACGCUGGGCCGUACCUGACACUGAACCGCGACAGCAUGGGGAGCAAACAGG